GAACGGGAUUUAGUAGACAGAAGCUUCGGUGGAAGAUUACUAAUGAGAGUGGCGAACGGGUGAGUGACGCGUGAGCAACCUGCCUAUGACAGUGGGAUAGCCUCGGGAAACCGGGAUUAAUACCGCAUAAAAUCGUAGAAACACAUGUUUUAGCGGUCAAAGAUUUAUCGGUCAUAGAUGGGCUCGCGUCUGAUUAGCUAGUUGGUGAGAUAACAGCCCACCAAGGCGACGAUCAGUAGCCGGUCUGAGAGGAUGAACGGCCACAUUGGAACUGAGACACGGUCCAAACUCCUACGGGAGGCAGCAGUGGGGAAUAUUGCACAAUGGGGGAAACCCUGAUGCAGCGACGCCGCGUGAACGAAGAAGGUAUUCGUAUCGUAAAGUUCUGUCCUAUGGGAAGAUAAUGACAGUACCAUAGAAGAAAGCUCCGGCUAAAUACGUGCCAGCAGCCGCGGUAAUACGUAUGGAGCGAGCGUUGUCCGGAAUUAUUGGGCGUAAAGGGUACGCAGGCGGUUUAAUAAGUCGAAUGUUAAAGAUCGGGGCUCAACCCCGUAAAGCAUUGGAAACUGAUAAACUUGAGUAGUGGAGAGGAAAGUGGAAUUCCUAGUGUAGUGGUGAAAUACGUAGAUAUUAGGAGGAAUACCAGUAGCGAAGGCGACUUUCUGGACACAAACUGACGCUGAGGUACGAAAGCGUGGGGAGCAAACAGGAUU
rnacentral:rRNA from 2 species